rnacentral:rRNA from 1 species
AUUGAACGCUGGCGGCAGGCCUAACACAUGCAAGUCGAACGGUAACAGGAAGCAGCUUGCUGCUUUGCUGACGAGUGGCGGACGGGUGAGUAAUGUCUGGGAAACUGCCCGAUGGAGGGGGAUAACUACUGGAAACGGUAGCUAAUACCGCAUAACGUCGCAAGACCAAAGAGGGGGACCUUAGGGCCUCUUGCCAUCGGAUGUGCCCAGAUGGGAUUCGCUAGUAGGUGGGGUAACGGCUCACCUAGGCGACGAUCCCUAGCUGGUCUGAGAGGAUGACCCGCCACCCUGGGACUGGGGCACGGUCCCGACGCCUACGGGAAGGCACAGUGGGGAAUAUUGGGCAAGUGGGGGAAAGCUGGAGGAAGCAAGGCGGGGGGUUUGAAGAGGGCUUCCGGGUGGUAAAGUACUUUAAGCGGGGAGAAAGGAGGUAAAGUUAAACCCUUUGUUAUUGGCGGUACCCGCAGAAGAAGCACCGGCUAACUCCGUG